UGGGAAAAAUUCCUCUUCUCCCACCAGCAGCCGCCGCAUAGGGAUCCUGGCCUCCACCAUCCGCCAAGCACCUCCCAUCCAUUGUCUUCAACCUCUAGCUCGUGAGCCCCUCUCUUCUCUGAUCCAUGGUGCAGCCCUCUGCUCCUUUUCCUUGUGGGUGCUGGCUUCCUCCUCCAGCGACCAGCACUAGGGAGCACCACCCCUUCCCUUCCCCAGGAACGACGAGCUCCUCUCUACUCCCAGCAACUUCCAUGGCCGUCGGCCCCUACGAGCUCCCUGCUCCACGCGCCCUCAGCCAUGGCGCACGACCCCUGCUCCUCCAUGGCCGCCAAUCAUCAGCCGUUCGGCACUCCGGACCAUCCAUGGCAUGCGACCCCUCCACGCCGGUGUCGAGCUCCACCAUCCGCUCCUCUACCACCCAUCUCCCACACGGUAUGCUAGACAUGGAACACAUGGACAUGAACGACGUGGUGUUGGAGACAAACCCGAAGAUGAUGGACCGAUCAAGGGGACGUUCAUCAAGCAGAUGUCAUCUAACCAAAAACACUAACCUAGUGUUUGAUUCCAAGCAAGCCCUGACAUCUAAUUACCAUGGUUUGCAAUAAUUGUUUUAUUCGCCUACCAUCCUAUGAUUGUUGCAUUAGGUUGCAGGAGUUGUUUGGAAACAAUUGCUGCAUUUAUCUUUGAUUACCUUUGGUUAUCGCUA